rnacentral:rRNA from 1 species
UACAGAGGUCCCAAGCGUUGUUCGGAUUCACUGGGCGUAAAGGGCGCGUAGGUGGUUCUGUAUGUCUACCGUGAAAGCAUACAGCUCAACUGUAUUUUGUCGGUAGAAACUGCAGGACUUUGAGGCUGGGAGGGGCUGGUGGAAUUCCCUGUGUAGCGGUGAAAUGCGUAGAGAUGGGGGAGAACACUCGUGGCGAAGGCGGCCAGCUAGACCAGUUCUGACACUGAGGCGCGACAGCGUGGGGAGCAAACAGG